CCGGAUCCUAGACGCUUUUUGACGGCUGGUCCUCCCCAGAAAAUGCGCCGUGUGAGCCCAAACAUGGUGGGGUUUACGCUGGACCCCGAGCUUGCAAUCUGUGCUUGACAAAACACAAACAUCGCGUGCCUGUCUCCUCCCCCUGAGAUCGAGUAGUAACAGCCACUCCAACUCUCCACCUCCAGCUUCUAGCACCAGGGACCGCCUCCACCACCCCAUGUGCCAAGUGGAGUUCGAGCUGCGCGGCCCUCAAGCAGCUGAAGGGUCCCGUGAGCGAUCAGGAGAAGCUGCUGGUCUACGGCUUGUACAAACAGGCCACCCAGGGCGACUGCGACAUCCCCGGCCCUCCGGCCUCAGACAUCAUGACAUCAGGUCAGCUGCAGUUCUCACUGGGACCAAUAAACAAUAGAAGCAACAACCAUAAAGACUUAAGAGGACAAAGGAAACCAAACCUCACUGUGUGUCUUCAAGAUCUGUUCACAUAGUUGCAGGAAGUUGCUGUAGACAAAGUACAUUACUAAAGAAUGAAGCCCACCCAGGACAUCACAGCAACGAAAGAACUAUUUCUGGUAACUGUGGACCAGGUGAGAGCCACACUGUAGAACAGCAGUGCUGCCCUCUCUUCUUUGGCGAAUGUUAUGAAGACAUUCUGAUGCACUUAGGAUCAUGAUUCAUGUUAAAUGUAAAUUAAUUGUAAAAAUAAUACAUCUUGCUCCAAAAUGUGGUGACAAUUUAGAAGCUGUCCACAUAGCCAGACCACUCUGUAAAUCACAGAACCUAGAAAGUAAAAAUGUGCCAUAAUUAGGACAGCAGAAAGUAACAGUAAAAUAAAGUUUUAAA
rnacentral:lncRNA from 1 species